rnacentral:rRNA from 1 species
UGGGGAAUAUUGCACAAUGGGCGAAAGCCUGAUGCAGCAACGCCGCGUGAGUGAUGAAGGCCUUCGGGUUGUAAAGCUCUGUCUUUUGGGACGAUAAUGACGGUACCAAAGGAGGAAGCCACGGCUAACUACGUGCCAGCAGCCGCGGUAAUACGUAGGUGGCAAGCGUUGUCCGGAUUUACUGGGCGUAAAGGAUGCGUAGGCGGAUUUUUAAGUGAGAUGUGAAAACCCUAAGCUUAACUUGGGGACUGCAUUUCAUACUGGAAAUCUAGAGUGCGGGAGAGGAGAAUGGAAUUCCUAGUGUAGCGGUGAAAUGCGUAGAGAUUAGGAAGAACACCAGUGGCGAAGGCGAUUCUCUGGACCGUAACUGACGCUGAGGCAUGAAAGCGUGGGUAGCAAACAGGAUUAGAUACCCUGGUAGUCCACGCCGUAAACGAUGAGUACUAGGUGUAGGAGGUAUCGACCCCUUCUGUGCCGCAGUUAACACAAUAAGUACUCCGCCUGGGGAAGUACGAUCGCAAGAUU